rnacentral:rRNA from 1 species
CCUACGGGAGGCAGCAGUGGGGAAUCUUGCGCAAUGGGCGAAAGCCUGACGCAGCAACGCCGCGUGCGGGAAGAAGGCUUUCGGGCUGUAAACCGCUUUCAGCAGGAACGAAAAUGACGGUACCUGCAGAAGAAGGAGCGGCCAACUAUGUGCCAGCAGCCGCGGUGAUACAUAGGCUUCAAGCGUUGUCCGGAUUUAUUGGGCGUAAAGAGUUCGUAGGCGGUCAAGUAAGUCGGGUGUGAAAAUUCUGGGCUCAACCCAGAGACGCCACCCGAUACUGCUUAACUUGAGUUCGAUAGGGGAGUGGGGAAUUCCUAGUGUAGCGGUGAAAUGCGCAGAUAUUAGGAGGAACACCGGUGGCGAAGGCGCCACUCUGGAUCGAUACUGACGCUGAGGAACGAAAGCAUGGGUAGCAAACAGGAUUAGAUACCCUGGUAGUCCAUGCCGUAAACGGUGGGCACUAGGUGUGGGUUUUACCUAUUUAACCGAAAUCCGCGCCGUCGCUAAACGCAUUAAGUGCCCCCGGCCGUCGGGUAGGUACGGUCGCGACGACUAAACCUACAAGAAGUAGACGGCGNGAGACGUGCCGACGGCGACGACGAGGGAGUAG